UAAGUUAUGUCAAAUAUACAAAGAAACAGAUUUCGCAUAUGGCUUUUACCAACAUUAUCUAUUAAAUUAAUUUUGUUCAUAAAUUAUAUAUUUUUCUUCAUAAUAUUAUUCAUUUAGAAAUACCAUUGUGCAAUGAUAAAGUUGCCUAUGGGUAGACACCAACAGGCUACAAUUCAGUAAAUAUACAAAAUACACCUAUUACUUUCUGGACUAUACGUUUAGAAUUUCCAACCUUCGACAAACUGUUGACCACCAGCAUAAAGCACUCUGAAGAGCCAAUGUGAAAAUAUUGGUUUUAAAAGAUAUCAUAAUAAGUUUGUUUCCAUGGUUGGUUCACCACAAUUGUAAAACGCAAAUCGAUGAUGGAAGAACACUGUUCGGAAAAAUUACACCUCAGCAAAAACAAAUAAAUAACAUAGAUACAAUCCUCAAAAUUAAAGUUUAAAGAAUUUUUACUUCUACUCAAGGUAAAGUCCGAGUAUCAGACACACACACAGACGCCAUUGUAGAACCAACACAUUCAUCACUUCAAUUCGAAUUCAAAAUUAAAUUCACAGGUUUGUUGUUUAUAUAUUACUUAUAAGAAAUAGUAUUUUUCCUAGUAGGUAGUACCUAUAUAUACAUUUAAAUUUUAGUAUCACAAAUCCCUUAAUCACUAUAAAACAAGCCUACUAACAGG